UAGAUACCCUGGUAGUCCGCACAGUAAACGAUGUACACUAGGUGUUGGGGCAAGAGCUUCAGUGCCUAAGCAAACGCAAUAAGUGUACCGCCUGGGAAGUAUGCCCGCAAGGGUGAAACUCAAAGGAAUUGACGGGGGCCCACACAAGCGGUGGAGCAUGUGGUUUAAUUCGAUGAUACGCGAGGAACCUUACCUGGGUUUGACAUCAAGAGCAAUACUAUAGAGAUAUGGUAGCGUAGCAAUACGGCUC
rnacentral:rRNA from 1 species